GGUAUGUAAUUCUUAUGCAAACCAGCAAAUCCAAAUAAAUAUCUGAAAUUUACCACAAAGUAAGGCAACCUAUAUACUUCACAUCCCUUUCCCAUCCACUAUUACAGUAAUGUCCUGACGAGUACUCUUGAUUUAAAUGAGUACCAUGUUAUUAAACUACAGUCAUUAUCAGAGUCCACCCAUUAUCUUAUAUAGUGACAGAAAUACACUUACUCUGUCCUUCUCAAAACACAAUCAGGUAAUCCUCGACGGAGAGUUAAUCGUGUCAAACCGCUGAAUACUCUUGUAUUAGACAUAGUGAGCCACUAAUCAUCCUAUACUUGAAGAAAAUACAGGUCCUCUCCAAUUGCCCGCUUAGGUCAUGUAACACGCCGUUGUGCAACAACAAAUGUCUUCCGGUGAAACAAUACCAGAACGUUCCCAUCAAAGCAACUAUGAAAUAAAGUGAAAUGUAAUGUGUUAUAUAUAUAUUUUUUUUUUACAUCUUAAAGUAUAAUUAAUCUAAACUUAUAUAUAAUUAAAGAAGCAUAAAAUCCUAUUAAAAUAAUGUAUUAAAGUAGAAUGACCAGGCACUGAUUUUGUCCAAUCGCGUUUUACCAAAACUGUUUUACUUCCUGGUUUGAAGCGCAUGCGCUCUUCGUUGCACGUUUAUGUUCCUCACUUCUCUACAGACGAACUGUGUCGGUAUUUUCAUGGCGAAAAAUAAGUCUGUGCAAUUGGAGCCAAAAUCUCCCAAAAGGAAAAAGUCAGCUUUAAAUGAAAGUCCAGUUCCUGUGGAAGAAAUUGUUGAAAAAAAAGCGAAAAAGAAAAAGGAAUCUCCAGAAGAGAUCCCAUCUGUAAUUAAAUCAAAAGAGCGUAAAAACUCGGAAAAGAACAAGAAGCGCAUAAGAAAGGAAGGAGACAAAGGACAGACACAAACAAGGCAAUCUGAGGUGAGAAUAUUCUGCUUUAAUGGAUGUUGUGUCAACAUUUUAUCACCUGUCUUUGCUAAAGUGACAUAAACAGUGUUUGGAGCAGACACACUGUUGUUAAGUAACUCAUGUGCUGUCUUAGAUUAAUCAUACACAAUAUAUACAAAAAAAAAAAGUAGCUUCAGCAGAAAUAUUUGCAU
rnacentral:lncRNA from 1 species